rnacentral:rRNA from 1 species
AAAGAACGCUGGCGGCAGUCCCAACACAUGCAAGUCGAACGGAACCUUCGGGAUUAGUGGCGGACGGGAGAGUAACGCGUGGGAACAUACCCAAAGGUCGGGAAUAGCCUCGGGAAACUGGGAGUAAUACCGUAUGUGCUCGAAACAGGAAAGAUUUAUCGCCUUUGGAUUGGCCCGCGUUUGAUUAGGUAGUUGGUGGGGUAAUAGCCUACCAAGGCGACGAUUCAUAGCUGGUCUGAGAGGAUAAUCGGCCACACUGGGACUGAGACACGACCCAGACAGCAGCGGGAGGCAGGAGUUGCAAAUCUUUGACAAUGGGGGAAACCCUGAUCUAUCCAUGCCGCCUGAUCGAUGAAGGCCUUUGGGUUGUAAAGAUCUUUCAGGUAGGAAGAGAAUGACUGUACCACCAGAAGAAGCCCCGGCUAACUCCGUGCCAGCCGCCGCCGUAA